rnacentral:rRNA from 1 species
CAAGCAGUGGGAGCACGCUUAGGCGUGUGACUGCGUACCUUUUGUAUAAUGGGUCAGCGACUUAUAUUCUGUAGCAAGGUUAACCGAAUAGGGGAGCCGAAGGGAAACCGAGUCUUAACUGGGCGUUAAGUUGCAGGGUAUAGACCCGAAACCCGGUGAUCUAGCCAUGGGCAGGUUGAAGGUUGGGUAACACUAACUGGAGGACCGAACCGACUAAUGUUGAAAAAUUAGCGGAUGACUUGUGGCUGGGGGUGAAAGGCCAAUCAAACCGGGAGAUAGCUGGUUCUCCCCGAAAGCUAUUUAGGUAGCGCCUCGUGAAUUCAUCUCCGGGGGUAGAGCACUGUUUCGGCAAGGGGGUCAUCCCGACUUACCAACCCGAUGCAAACUGCGAAUACCGGAGAAUGUUAUCACGGGAGACACACGGCGGGUGCUAACGUCCGUCGUGAAGAGGGAAACAACCCAGACCGCCAGCUAAGGUCCCAAAGUCAUGGUUAAGUGGGAAACGAUGUGGGAAGGCCCAGACAGCCAGGAUGUUGGCUUAGAAGCAGCCAUCAUUUAAAGAAAGCGUAAUAGCUCACUGGUCGAGUCGGCCUGCGCGGAAGAUGUAACGGGGCUAAACCAUG